rnacentral:rRNA from 1 species
AUUGAACGCUGGCGGCAUGCCUUACACAUGCAAGUCGAACGGCAGCACGGGAGCAAUCCUGGUGGCGAGUGGCGAACGGGUGAGUAAUAUAUCGGAACGUGCCCAGUCGUGGGGAUAACGUAGUGAAAGCUACGCUAAUACCGCAUACGAUCUACGGAUGAAAGCGGGGGAUCGCAAGACCUCGCGCGAUUGGAGCGGCCGAUAUCAGAUUAGGUAGUUGGUGAGGUAAAGGCUCACCAAGCCGACGAUCUGUAGCUGGUCUGAGAGGACGACCAGCCACACUGGGACUGAGACACGGCCCAGACUCCUACGGGAGGCAGCAGUGGGGAAUUUUGGACAAUGGGCGCAAGCCUGAUCCAGCAAUGCCGCGUGCAGGAUGAAGGCC